GAUGAACGCUGGCGGCGUGCCUAAUACAUGGAAGUCGAGCGAACGGACGAGAAGCUUGCUUCUCUGAUGUUAGCGGCGGACGGGUGAGUAACACGUGGAUAACCUACCUAUAAGACUGGGAUAACUUCGGGAAACCGUAGCUAAUACCGGAUAAUAUUUUGAACCGCAUGGUUCAAAAGUGAAAGACGGUCUUGCUGUCACUUAUAGAUGGAUCCGCGCUGCAUUAGCUAGUUGGUAAGGUAACGGCUUACCAAGGCAACGAUGCAUAGCCGACCUGAGAGGGUGAUCGGCCACACUGGAACUGAGACACGGUCCAGACUCCUACGGGAGGCAGCAGUAGGGAAUCUUCCGCAAUGGGCGAAAGCCUGACGGAGCAACGCCGCGUGAGUGAUGAAGGUCUUCGGAUCGUAAAACUCUGUUAUUAGGGAAGAACAUAUGUGUAAGUAACUGUGCACAUCUUGACGGUACCUAAUCAGAAAGCCACGGCUAACUACGUG
rnacentral:rRNA from 1 species